CCAACCAACCAAAUAAAAAACCCACCCAAAACAAAUACAAAUAGAAAGGAAUCAUUAAAAAAAGAAAAGAAUGCCCACUAAAUCAAUACGAUCAAUGUCCGUAGGAACUCACAGAGACACAGGCAAGGCUGCACAGGCCUGCACAGGCCUGAACUAGUUGGGGUUCUAGGGCUGAAAGGAAAAGUGGACACACGUCCCCAUCCCUGACACAGAAGCAAUGUCACCACAUUCAUAACCACUUACAAAUGGAAAUUAAUCUUACUCCAAGAGAGUUUCUCCAUCUCGUGGAAUGGGCUGCCCGACGCCACGGUUAUUUUCCUUCAUGGAUUGGGCAAGGAUGGGCAGGAGCCGUUGGUUGCAGGCGUCAGAACGCCCCACAUCAGGUUCACCUGUCCACAUGGCACCUGAUAUGCCUAUUACAGUCAACAUGACUGUGACCAGGCCUUCUUGGUUUGAUAUUGGACUUUUUGCAGAUUCCCAGGAGGACGAAUCUGGAAUUAAACAGGUGGCAGGAAACGUAAAAACGUUGAUAGAUUAAGAGGUGAAGGAUAGCAUUGCUUCUAACAGCAUUAUUUGGGGAGGAUUUUCUCAGGGAGGCAAUUGAUUUUUUUUUUUAUCAUGCUCUUAAGACACCGCAAAAACUGCAGGACGCCAAUGGGCUCUGUUGCUGGCUUCCACUUCCAGUUUCUUCUCCACAAGGUCCCAUCAAUAGCACUAACAGACAUAUUUUUGUUCUCCAGUGUCAUGGAGAUUUUGACUCUUUAGUUCCCCUAACAUCAGUUCUCUUACUGCUGAAAAACGAACAGCAUUGGUAAAUCCAGCCAAUGUAACCUUCAAAACUUUGGUGCACAGCUGUUGUCUGCAGGAAAUGGUGGAUGCCAGGCAAUUCAUUGAUAAACUUCUACCUCCAGUGACUGACAUCACUAAGAGCCUUGUGUAGAUGUUGGCUGGCAUCACUGUAGUAGAGUAUAAACAUUUUCCCAUGCCUGAUGGGAAAACUUCUAAUGUUGCAGUGUUAAAAUGAUUUACAAAUACAUACCAGGGAGACAGACGAAAUGAUGUCGUCCUAAUGGGAAAUGUAUGAUCCUUUAAAUGUCUACAACAUAUAUCAGUAUUAUACAAUCCGUAAUAUACAAGUGUAAAAGAAGGGAAAGUAAGCAUCUAGCUUUUUUUUUUCUUAAAUUAAUCCAGCAGUCUUAAUACAUCAUUUGAAAAGUGACUAGUAAGCUCACUGAAAGAUAUUUUAGGUCUAAACAAGCCAUUAGGAUGUAAAUGACUUCUUAAUUUUGUGAAUUAGACUAUAAUUUUACUCCACAAUUUUAUAGUCUCCAUGCAGUGUCUGUAUUUUCAUAUGUGUAUUCACAUAUACAUGAUUAUAACAUAUAUGAAUUAGAUGGUAUUACAAUAUUCUUAACACUAGGGAUAAUGCUUGGAGCAUUAAAGGAAGAGCAAUGCUGCUCUCUUCAGUUAAUGGCCCUUUAGUGUGGACACCAGGCCUUUCUUUUUCUGCUACUUCAUUUUUUUCUUCUCUCGAGAGACAAAAAAUGGUUGGCUUCUUUCUUUCUUGAUUUUCUAUAGAAUUCCAAUAUUGCCUCUUUGCCAUAAAACCUACCAAUAUAUACUAUAAUUUCACAGUUUGAAACAUAGACAUGGUAUUUCAAAUCUAAGUAAUGUGAAAAAAACAAACAUUACUUAAGCUUACAUAUUAAAUAAUUGCACCUCAGUCCCGCUUUAGACUGCCGAGUUGUCAGAAUCUUCAGUCCUGGUAAUAAUUCUGUGGUUUUAUUUUUUGGUAAAGAACUGAAAGAGUAAAUGAAACCUUGUUAUGUUAAGAAAUAAAUACUUAAGACCAGUUUUGAAGUCUAAUUCUAAAACAGUUACAUCUUAAAGAAGAGUUUGAGUUUACAUUUUCUGAGCAUAUGCUAUACUUAACUGCAAAUACUGUUCAAAAUGAGCAAUUAAAAAGUUUUAUUUUUAUCUGGCCAUGAACUAAUUAGAAAAUUUCAUUUUAGGUAAAAAAAAAAAGUUUUUGAGAAUAAGUCUCCAGUGCAUCCAUUAAAAUAACAAUAAAUUGAAUUUAAAUAGUGUCCAGCAUAUUGAUGAAAAUUAUUUAAAUUAAUUUACAGGUAAUAAAGACUAAUUAGAACACACACAUAAACACACAUACAUGCACACUAUAUAUAAAACAGCUGAAUAUAUACAAAAUUAUGGUUAUUUAUGAGCUAUUGCUUUUGUUGCUUUUCUUGCUGUUUAUUAACUGACAAAGACCAUGCUAACAAUCAUCUUUAUGAAUGGGUGCUAGGUGAUGGGCAGAUCAUUUGUAUGGUCUAGAUAAAAUGUUAAUAAUGAAGCCAUGUGCUCAUGUUUGAAUUUAAAACAAUUUCAAAAAAAAUCCCUUGCUAUUUUGUUUUCCUUUGAAGAAUAUAAACUUACUUCAGUUAUACCAUCAGUAAAGUUUUAUUUUGGGUAAGAAAAUUUCCAUUGAAUCCUUGUGCUGUCAAGUGGAAAAAUGGCAUGUUUUUCAGUUUCCAUCAAUAUGAAAUAAAAUUUAGU